AGAAAGUCUCACCUCUGCAUUUGAGUAGUAGUGAGCUCUGGAUUUAUAUGAAAGGUGAAACGGGCUCCAUUGCUACAAGGGUGCAUGAGUACUGGUAAUUUAGUCUGGGUAAGUUGUAUACCUACAGUAUCCCAGGCACUGUGUUUGGGGUACAAAGGUAAGGUGUGUCUGGUCUCUGGCCUCAGGAGCUUAGAAUCUAGUGAAAUCGAUGGACACAUAAACUUUGGUCCAUGGCAGUGACUAAGUGCAAUAAUUUGAGAGCUCUACACAAGGGCAACCAGCCCAGUCCAGGAAUGGGGGUGGGAGUUUAGAGAAAGCUUUUUGGGUGUAUGACUGAACAUGAAUUCAGUCAGGUAAAAGAAGUGGGAAGUGGGAAUGGACAUCCAGGCAAGGCACAGAAUAGCUAAUAAACAAGGUCUUAAGUAUGGGGAACCAUAAGUAGCUCUCAUUGCUGGGAUGCUGGUUCGGAGGAAAGCAGUGAUGAGAACAAGACAAGAGUCCUAUCUUGGAAGGCCUUGUAGGCCUUGUUUAAGACACACUGAAGAGUUUCAGGGAAGUGAGUGAAAAAGAAAAGCAUGUAGGUAACUGCUAGCAGAGUGGAGGUAGAUUUUAGGGGUCUACUUGCUAAAGGCUGGUUUUCCUAUGAGCAAGGGAAGUGGGGCAGGUCCUGACAAGAUUAAGAAAUAGCUUUCCAUACCUUCCAGAAGAAGGUGGGGGGAGAAUUCUCAGCUUUGGGCUGCAUUCAGCCCUUUAUUUUGCUCCUUUCUCAUAGAGCCCAGCACCUUCAUACUUCCUUUUGGCAAUUCAGAGCCUCCUGUUUGGCAUUCUGUGCCCUAGUGUGGUCACUUAACAGCUAUUAGAAUUCAAUUAAACCAGUUACCCUGAUCUUCAGUUUUUAAAUCUGUAAGUAUCUGUUUUAUUCCCUUCAGCAUUAGAAAUUUAAAUGAGUUCACAUUUAGCUGUGAAUGUCUGAGAGCUUCUUCUCUCAUUGUUUUUGUUUCAUAUGUUUUGUGGGUAGUGCUUAAUAAGUAUUUUUAACCAUAUUUUUUUCAUAUUAGUAAUUGCAUCCACUGUUGAAAAUUUGAAAAAUAGAGAAGCAAAUGGAAGAAAAUAAAACCAUCCAUAAUCACA